rnacentral:lncRNA from 1 species
UACAACAACAACAACCCAGUAUAAUCCCACUUAGUGGGGUCUGGGGAGGGUAGUGUGUACGCAGACCUUACCCCUACCCUUGGGUAGAGAGGCUGUUUCCAAAUAGACCCCCGACAUUCUUCUCUUCAAGAACUUCCCACCUUGCUUUUGGAGAGACUCGAACUCACAACCUCUCGGUUGGAAGUGGGGGUUGCUUACCAUCAGAGC